rnacentral:lncRNA from 1 species
UAAUAUCCUCAUGCUGAAAGCAGAGCAGAAUCAAUUCCCACCAUCCUCCCCAUACACCGAGCCCCAGUGAUUGCUGAUUGUUCACCAGGGCAGGAAAUGAGCUCCUAAAACCACUGAGCGCCAAUUACAGUGUAUUAUAUUAAAAUAUUUGUUUUGUGUCAUAGUGAACCAAGCCACUGCAGGUCACAAGUAGCCAUGUGAGGAUUUUCACAAUACUUCCUCCCACCCUAUAUGACGUCUAAAGGGUAACAUCAGCCUGAACACACACAUUUCUGGGUUGAGGGUCUUUGGUGACAAUCUCUUGCCCCAUUUUUCUGACGCAGGAAUAAGUGUCACCUGCAGCUCUCUAGUAGCAGGCUGCUGGCUGGCUCAUCCUCAGCACCACUACCAGCACCUUUAUCUACCUCUCCUGGUGAAAAAGAAUUAUUUCCAGAGCAAACAAGGAGCCAGCAGGAGCUCUGAGACCCAGGGUGCCAUCGUGUGCUGGCAGCAAGCUGUCCCAUCAGUCACAGGAGACAGAGAAAGCAGACCACCAGAGGGAGCAGAGGAAAACAGCAGCUCUCAAAACGAGGAAGCAAGAACACAGCGUAAUAACAUUUUUUUCCUUCAAUCUCUGCAGUUAUUCUAUGAGGUGCCCCAUCAGUGUGCUGGAAGCACCAGGUGUCAGUCUGCAGCCCAGCCAUUGGUGCCCAGGGCCCCAGCGGGCAAGGCAGCAUUAGGAACUGGUUAAUUCAGACCUGCAGUGAACCUGAAGAGGAUCUCUUUGAAGAGUAACAGAUCCAUCCACUGGCUGGAAGAAACAUUUCUAAUCUGGGCCCCCUGGUCACAUCCAGGCUUUGAGGGAAUAGAAGAAACACCAAAACCCCCACCCUUUGCAAAUAGUGGCUCUUGUUGCCACAAAGGAGUGUGCAAAGUAACAGCUGCAGGAAACCUGCCUGGGAGGGAGGGCAAUACACUGGGGCCAUAUGCCCGGUGGUGCCACCGCAGAGGCUUCUAAAGGACAGGCACAGAGUGUUGAGGGUCUGGAACAGGGCAGCAGAGCUCAGCUCUGGCCCCAGUCAUCCCCUAGCUAGAUGGGCUGCGCUCGGCACGCUCCACCUCACCUUCUUCCCUUGCUUCACCAGUUGCAGCCAGAUGGUGUACUUGUGUAUAAAGUUCUCAGAACAACCUGCACGUAGAGCAGCGAGAAGAGGCCUGAAGAGCAAAGCUGGCAGCCUUGAGGAGACCAUCCAGCCCAUCUGUGUGUCCAUGUACGAAGCAAAUGUGCCUUGGCCUUGCUGGGAACCAUGGCACAUGCAGAAGGCUCCAUUGUUGCUCCUUCAAAAAGCUGAAUUAUCUCCUGGAGCUGGAGGCUGACAAUUGCACAGGUUCCACGGCAUUAUGCACGGUUGGAUUUUUGCUGGUUUGUUCUCUGCUGUGCUGUGCUGCCUGUAAUCGUGUUGCAUUUUAGUUAUUUAACGUUGUCCAAACAGCAGCCCUGGGGCAGUGGAGGUGGCAAAGGCUUAGUGCUGCUGAUGGAGCAUACAGAUGGAAAGUGGAGAGGGGAGGGACAGAAUAAGCUGCUCUGGAGAGAAGAACAGCGACUCCAGGCAGGGAGGUGUCCUGCUGGUGCACUAGGAAAUCUGGAAGUUGAUAAUAGUAAUAAAGGGCAAAAGAACACAGCUGUUCUUCUACCA